rnacentral:misc_RNA from 1 species
GAUGAAGAACGUAGCAAAAUGCGAUAAGUAAUGUGAAUUGCAGAAUUCAGUGAAUCAUCGAAUCUUUGAACGCACAUUGCGCCCGCCAGUAUUCUGGCGGGCAUGCCUGUUCGAGCGUCAUUUCAACCCUCAAGCCCUCGGGUUUGGUGUUGGGGAUCGGCGAGCCUUUCUGGCAAGCCGGCCCCGAAAUCUAGUGGCGGUCUCGCUGCAGCCUCCAUUGCGUAGUAGCACAACUCGCAUUGGAGCUCGGCGGUGGCCAUGCCGUAAAACACCCCACUUCUGAAAGUUGACCUCGGAUCAGGUAGGAAUACCCGCUGAACUUAAGCAUAUCAAUAAGCGGAGGA